UGGGGCGUAGCCAAGUGGUAAGGCACCGGGUUUUGAUCCCGUGAUCGCAGGUUCGAUCCCUGCCGCCCCAACCA
rnacentral:tRNA from 1 species